rnacentral:rRNA from 1 species
CCUACGGGAGGCAGCAGUAGGGAAUCUUCCACAAUGGACGCAAGUCUGAUGGAGCAACGCCGCGUGAGUGAAGAAGGUUUUCGGAUCGUAAAGCUCUGUUGUUGGUGAAGAAGGAUAGAGGUAGUAACUGGCCUUUAUUUGACGGUAAUCAACCAGAAAGUCACGGCUAACUACGUGCCAGCAGCCGCGGUAAUACGAAGG